UAGUCCAUGCCGUAAACGGUGGGCACUAGAUGUGGGGACUUUCAACGGUCUCCGUGUCGUAGCUAACGCAUUAAGUGCCCCGCCUGGGGAGUACGGUCGCAAGACUAAAACUCAAAGGAAUUGUCGGGGGCCCGCACAAGCGGCGGAGCAUGUUGCUUAAUUCGAGGCAACGCGAAGAACCUUACCUGGGUUUGACAUAUAUUGGAUCGCCAUAGAGAUAUGGUUUCUUUUAGUCGGUAUACAGGUGGUGCAUGGCUGUCGUCAGCUCGUGUCGUGAGAUGUUGGGUUAAGUCCCGCAACGAGCGCAACCCUCGUCCUGUGUUGCCAGCAUUUAGUUGGGGACUCACAGGAGACUGCCGUGGUUAACACGGAGGAAGGUGGGGAUGAGGUCAAGUCAUCAUGCCCCUUACACCCAGGGCCUGGCAAACAUGCUACAAUGGCCGGUACAACGGGCUAGCUAUACCGCGAGGUAAAGCGAAAUCCCCUUAAAGCCGGUACUCAGUUCGGAUAGGAGUCUGCAA
rnacentral:rRNA from 1 species